UACGAAGGGUGCAAGCGUUAAUCGGAAUUACUGGGCGUAAAGCGUGCGUAGGCGGUGAUUUAAGUCUGGUGUGAAAUCUCCCGGCUCAACUGGGAGGGUGCGCCGGAUACUGAGGGGCUAGAGUGUGGGAGAGGAAAGUGGAAUUCCUGGUGUAGCGGUGAAAUGCGUAGAUAUCAGGAGGAACACCGGUGGUGUAAACGCUUUCU
rnacentral:rRNA from 1 species